rnacentral:rRNA from 1 species
UACGAAGGGGGCUAGCGUUGCUCGGAAUCACUGGGCGUAAAGCGCACGUAGGCGGCUUUCUAAGUCAGGGGUGAAAUCCUGGAGCUCAACUCCAGAACUGCCUUUGAUACUGCAGAGCUUGAAUGUGGGAGAGGGUAGUGGAAUUCCAGGUGUAGUGGUGAAAUACGUAGAUAUCUGGAGGAACACCGGUGGCGAAGGCGGCUACCUGGCCCAACAUUGACACUGAGACCCGAAAGCGUGGGGAUCAAACAGG